rnacentral:rRNA from 1 species
AUUGAACGCUGGCGGCAGGCCUAACACAUGCAAGUCGAGCGAGCGGCGGACGGGUGAGUAAUGUAUGGGGACUGCUCGAUAGAGGGGGAUAACUACUGGAAACGGUAGCUAAUACCGCAUACUACCGGUUAACCCAUAUGGGACUAGCUAGUAGGUGAGGUAAUGGCUCAACUAGGCGACGAUCCCUAGCUGGUCUGAGAGGAUCAUCAGCCCCACUGGGACUGAGAGACGGCCCCGACACCUCCGGAGACCGCAGUCUUCAGUCUUGCGCCAUGGGCGCAAGCCUGCUUCAGCCCUGCCGCGUGUGUGCAUAUGGCCCUAGGGUUCUACGAUACUUUCAGUCGGGGGGCGUUACCGACAGAAGAAGCACCGGCUAACUCCGUGCCAGCAGCCGCGGUAAUUC